ACGAAGUAGGAACUGACGAUGAAACGAGAAUAGGGAAAGGGAGAUUGUAGCUACUGGAAGUUGUAGGAAUGGGCUGUUUGGGAUGAAUGAAAGUGGAGGUAAAUCUUUGGAUUUACAGUGUUAAAUUCUUCCCAAAGCCGCCCAUUCCGAUGAUUUCCGGCAGUUCCUCCCUUUCCCUUCUGUCUCUGUCUCUCUCUGUCUCUCUCUCUCUCUGGUUUCUGCUUGUGCCUUGUUAUGUAGCUGGUGGAAGUUGGUACGCAGUUUCCCGAUUCCCCACGGCAGAAAAAGGGAAAUGAAUGUAUAGAAUAGUCAUUAAAUCUUGGAUAUAGCAUGCCAUCUUAUUUAGCGUAUUGUAUGGUAUUUUUUAGAUCUAGGGCUCUCCGUACGUUCUUGUACAGAUACAUGAGUAGAUGAUCUUGUUUUGAUCUUUGUAAAAAUAAGAAAAGAUAAACAGGGAAAUGCUUAUUUAUACCGAAUAAGCAGCACCCGGGACAGUUCCUUUUCCUGUGAUUGUGAUUAUCAUAUGUCUGAUAUGCAAGCAAGUUCAGAAGAUAUAUA